UGGGGAAUAUUGCACAAUGGACGGAAGUUUGAUGCAGCGACGCCGCGUGGAGGGUGUAGGCCUUCGGGUUGUGAACUCCUUUUUCUCGCGAAAAAGGCACAGUUUUGGCUGUGUUGAUGGUAGUGGGGGAAGAAGCGCCGGCUAACUACGUGCCAGCAGCCGCGGUAAUACGUAGGGCGCGAGCGUUGUCCGGAUUUAUUGGGUUUAAAGGGUGCGUAGGUGGGCUGUUAAGUCAGCGGUGAAAGUUUGUCGCUUAACGAUAAAAUUGCCGUUGAAACUGGUAGUCUUGAGUAUAGAUGAAGUAGGCGGAAUGCGUGGUGUAGCGGUGAAAUGCAUAGAGAUCACGCAGAACUCCGAUUGCGAAGGCAGCUUACUAAGGUAUAACUGACACUGAAGCACGAAAGCGUGGGUAUCAAACAGG
rnacentral:rRNA from 1 species